GGAGAUGCAUCUCAGUGGUACAGUGUUUGCCUAGCAUGCAUGAGGCCCUAAGUUCCAUCCCCAGCAUCUCCC
rnacentral:tRNA from 1 species